CAAUAAAUGUCAAUUUCAAACAUUAAUUUCAGAAAAUGUAGGUCUUGUUCAAAUGAUGCAAUGCAGAAAUUGUCAAAGUAUUUAAGAUAUGUUAAUGGCAAACAGACAACUCAACUUUAUCGCCGACGGGAUGACAUCAACCUCUUCAACGUCAACUCCCCAUAUAUAUUCAACAAUAUUCCAUCAUCACUUGCAUAUGGAGGUUAUGUCUCUCAACUGAUUUAAUGCGCGAGAGGGUGUUCUGUGAAUGAUUAAUAUUACAAUCUAGGCCAACUACUGACAAGGUUUCAACAGUCACAUUUAAAGAAAGCUUUUCACAUAACCUAUGGUCGUUAUAAUGAUAUUGUAUGCUAAUUCAACCAGCAGUUAGGUUUAAUGUUACCUGAGGUGUUUGGUACCAGUUGUUAGGCCAGUCUCCACACACGGACUUUGACUACGGAUGGCUAAGUUUACUUCAAGGUGUAGGACUCACAGCGGAUGUGAUCGGUCAACAGGGGGUACUUAUUUCCCUUGGCACCUGAUCCACCUCUGGUGCAUCCGGAAGUCCGUGUUUACCCUAGGUUUGAUAUUGUAUUAUUGCUAGAAGUUUUGGAUUGAUCACUGUUUGCUAUCUCCACAUUUCCAUACAUGACGAGAAGUGAUACCGUAGGAAAUCAGCUCUUGGCUUUGAUUUUGCAUUUGGAAAUUCUUUCUGUCUUGCUGUUCGAACCAUCAGAAAUUUAAUUAAGAGAUCUAUAGAUAUGAAUAUGUCAUUAUCUUAAAGAUGUCGAGGUUGAGGGAUUAAGUAUUAAGUUUAUUGCUGGAAUAUGCAACUGAAUUCUAUUUACCCUUGAAAAACAAAAUCAUUUAAGAUAUGAUAAUACGAUGUAUUGCAAUGAUUAAGAUACAACAGAGCGUAUUUUUCAUAUCAGAAUAGUUCUCAGUUAAUCUGUGCAACUCACAACUCUAUUAAUCCAAGAUGCAGACAAGAUUAACAAAAUUGAAUUAAACCCAGAUUUAUUAUACAUAAUACAGUCAAGAUUUUAGCAGAUUUAUUAGACAAUAUACAAUUUUGUGGCAGGUGUUGGCACAAUCCAUUUAACAUGAAAAUACUAUCCCUGCGGUCAUCCCGGGGAAUCACUAAGCACCCAGGGAUUACCUCCCUUUAACACUGGCGCAAAGCGCCCCCACAGGUAACUGUGGUGGGAACAGACCUCUUGGUACCACCUUACAAGAGUGAAUGCCACGUACGAUGAUAAUUUCAGUUCUGACUCAGGCCCUAACUCUAUCCUGUCUCCCCUGGUACACACCUUGGUCAUUGUUAAGACCCCCAGGGGUAAACCCCAAAGACUUGCCCUUGGUACAGCAAGGGUCAAGCCGGUCCCACAGGUACCACUGAGGUGGCCCCAAAUCCUCCUCAGUACUGAGAAUAGAUUCUCCAGAGUUUUGAGCCAGACAUGAGAGAAAUUUUCAUUUGUGGUAAUCCCCGAAUUCCGCC